GGGAGUUUGGUCUAGUGGUAUGAUUCUCACUUAGGGUGCGAGAGGUCGUGGGUUCAAUUCCCGCAACUCCCC
rfam:Volvox carteri f. nagariensis unplaced genomic scaffold VOLCAscaffold_69, whole genome shotgun sequence.